AGAGUUUGAUCCUGGCUCAGGACGAACGCUGGCGGCGUGCUUAACACAUGCAAGUCGAGCGGUAAGGCCCAGCUUGCUGGGUACACGAGCGGCGAACGGGUGAGUAACACGUGGGUGACCUGCCUUCAGCUCUGGGAUAAGCCUGGGAAACUGGGUCUAAUACCGGAUAUGACCUUGGAACGCAUGUUUUGGGGUGGAAAGUUUUUUCGGCUGGAGAUGGGCCCGCGGCCUAUCAGCUUGUUGGUGGGGUGAUGGCCUACCAAGGCGACGACGGGUAGCCGGCCUGAGAGGGCGACCGGCCACACUGGGACUGAGACACGGCCCAGACUCCUACGGGAGGCAGCAGUGGGGAAUAUUGCGCAAUGGGCGGAAGCCUGACGCAGCGACGCCGCGUGGGGGAUGACGGCCUUCGGGUUGUAAACCUCUUUCGCCAUCGACGAAGCCUGCUUGCGGGUGACGGUAGGUGGAGAAGAAGCACCGGCCAACUACGUGCCAGCAGCCGCGGUAACACGUAGGGUGCGAGCGUUGUCCGGAAUUAUUGGGCGUAAAGAGCUCGUAGGCGGUGUGUCGCGUCGGCCGUGAAAACUUGCAGCUUAACUGUGGGCGUGCGGUCGAUACGGGCAUCACUUGAGUUCGGCAGGGGAGACUGGAAUUCCUGGUGUAGCGGUGAAAUGCGCAGAUAUCAGGAGGAACACCGGUGGCGAAGGCGGGUCUCUGGGCCGAUACUGACGCUGAGGAGCGAAAGCGUGGGGAGCGAACAGGAUUAGAUACCCUGGUAGUCCACGCUGUAAACGUUGGGCGCUGGGUGUGGGGGCCAUUCCACGGUCUCUGUGCCGCAGCUAACGCAUUAAGCGCCCCGCCUGGGGAGUACGGCCGCAAGGCUAAAACUCAAAGGAAUUGACGG
rnacentral:rRNA from 1 species